ACCACACCGGAAGUGUCCGACCGCACACUCACGGACACGGAUAAGAAAUCCAAAAUGGCGGCCACGUGCAACUAGCAUAGAGGCAACUAGGAGAUGCUCCACUGAUGAUUGACUGUGUUGCUACUGUUAUAUCUUUUUUGCAGAUCUCCUCCUUCAGUGAUGCUCCUCCUCCUCCAGUGAAACUCCUCCUCCAGUGAAGCUCCUCCCACUGCAGUUCACCAAUAAACGCUGGAAUAUUCCCCUCAGCUACAAGUGAAGACGAGCAUCAAACCAUCAGGAAGAGCCAACACAAACACAAAGUUUAUUGAAGGACAGUGAGAACAUGAGAUCCAGAACACUGCAGAAUGAAACAUACUGAAGAACAAAGAGGUUCCGAGUGCCUGACAACUGUGAGCUGAUAACGGGCUGCGCC